GAAAAAGGUGUGACAGAGACAUUGCACCAAGAGGAAAUGUGAUAUGCAUGAUUGGCCUGCAAGGGAAUUGAAACCGUACCAGGAACACUGAUCUAAACUUCACCCUUGUCUAAGCAAACCUACUACUUCUCUCUCUUGCCCUCCACUCUAUUUCCUCCCCAUUCUCUUCCUAGCAUGAGCCACACCCACUUCUCCAAAUGGGGUGGCUCCAAUCCCUCUUCUCUCCAUUGAAGAAGCUCUGGUUUCGUCUGCACUCAGCUCAGAGGAAGAGUAGAGGGAUAUACAUUCUAUACGAGGACGUCAAGUCCUGCCCAUAUGAAGAUGUGCAUGUACUAUGGUCGAUUCUGGUGGAAUCACAUUCACCUUCGCCGCCAUCAAAACAAUGAAGGCUCUCAUGCACAGAGACAUCCCAGGAAUGAGAGAUUUCCAUUCUGAUCAUGUACAUACGAUAUUUAAAUGUUCUACACACUAUGAAAUGGUUUGUCCUCCUCCUUUACUUUCUUGUGAUCCAAGCUAGGUUUCAGAAUUUGAGUUUCCUAAUCUUAAUAGAAGGUUGGAUCUGGGUUCAAGCGUCUGUGUAAACUAUGACUUUAUUUAAAGAAAAUUCGGAAUGAGUAAUUCCCCUUCUCUUUAUUUUGGCCUCA